UGAUAUCUUAUCUCUAUAACAAAACAAAAACAAUUUUUUUCACAAAAUAUAGUUGUCUCACAAAUCUAAAGAUGGAGAAAAAAGUAGUUAAGAAGCCAUAUGCAAAGAGUCUCUUUCAUAUAUGGACCUGAUUUAGAUGACAUUCUGGAUUUCAGGGCAAUGCUAUAAUUGGAUGAGACUUUUAGAGACUUUGGGAAGAGGGUGAAUGUAUUUUGCAUGUGUAAGUAACAUGAAUCACCAGGACCAGUGGAAAAACUAUAGUAGUCAAUCUCCAAGAUGACCCCCAACGACACCCCCCCACACACACACACACCGCCUCCUGGUAUUCACACCUUUGUAUAAUCCCCUCGAGUGUGGCCUGGACCUAGUAACUGACUUACUUCUAACAAAUAGAAUAUUGCAAAAAGUGAUGGGAUGUCACAUCUGAGAUUAGGUCAUAAAGACUAAGAGUCCUGUCUGGCAUGUGGGCACUCUCCUAUCUCUAGCUCAUCUUGAUUGCUCUGCUGAAGCAAGCCACCAUGUUGUGAGCCGCCCUAUGAAAAGGUACACAUGGCAAGGAACCUGAGAGUUAUCCCCAGCCAACAGCCAGCAAGAAACUGAAUCCUGCCAACAGCCACGUCUUCUGGGAAGCAUGGUUAGUGCCUGCCCUUUCAAGGACCCACUGACCAUGUACCUCAGGCCCCAGGCACCACUCCCAAGGGUUGGAAUCCUGUAUCACUGGACUCUGCAAUGUAAAGAGUUCAUAUGCACAGUGUGGGGCUCCAACUGAUUCUCUUAACUCUUUCUAAAACUAGACUGCAGGCCCUUGGCCUGGAAGUGGAGACAGACUGAGGCCUGGGCCUUGCCUUCCCUCCAGAAGCUCCAGAGCUUGGGGUAGGAGGAGAGACAGACCUAUGAGUAUUUCUGACACCAUGUAAGGCACAGGUGGAGGCACUAAGGAGAAGGUGAAGAAGGGGUCAGUUGGGCCUGAAGGAAGGGUUUGGGUAAAGUCCUUAAUAGAAGUGAUGUCUCUUCCCAUCCCCUUGUCACCUGCAGAUUCAGGAGCCAUCCUGAGGGAUGUGGCAACAUUUGGGAGGACUUGGCAGCUAGGUGAUGUUCUGUUUAAUAAAAAAUUACUUUGAGGUGAGAAGAUACCCACUGCUUCCCUGACCUCAUUCUCCCCAUCCCCUUAUCUGAGGGGGAGGGGGUCCCCUGAGCCAGUCCCCCUCCCUUUCUAGGGGAACGUCUGGGAAAGAGGGCAGAUCUGGAACCAGAGAAAGCUCUCUGGAAGGGUAGAUUUGAUCUGGUUCUUGCAGGAUGAUGGCCAGGGACUCUCCUGCAGAGUUUAUGGGAUGUACGUCUGCUGUGAAGGAAAGUGUGUGAGGGAUGGGACAGGGACAUGCCAAGAUGGGAAAGGCUGUCUGAAAACCAGUGAGGGAUGGGCCCAUACCUGGGAGAACCCCCGUCCUGGGCCAAGCAGUUCUCUAACCUGGGAGUUGCUUCAGGUUGAAGGCACCAUCUCUUCCUCUCCUGUCUGGCCACUUCUUCCUGUGGCUGCCUUGGAAGUGGUAGUUAAGUGCUGAGAUUGAGCCCCUUUCUACCCAUUCCAGCUCUCACUCACCUCUCCUGUCAGCUCCUCCAACCCUCUUUUUAUGUUCAAUUUCAGAGAGGUGGGCAGCCAAAAGGUCAGCCUCUUCCCCUGGACUGAGGCCUGGAGUCAAACUGGACCCAACAGGGUUGUCCAUGGGCUCCUGUCUCUCCUUACUUGUAUUUUGUAUAGCCCAGGGUCCCAACAGGAAGACCAGAUGAAGCAGGGCUGAGCCAGACCCUUCCACCAACCAAAGCUGCUGCUAGAAGAGGGUGGGCUUUCUUAUUUACCACUAGGUUCCUAUCAACUGCAAAUAUAGGAAGGAGGAAUGAAACCCAUGAAAUUUCAGAUGAGAAAGCAAAAUAAGGGUGGCAGUGUGCUAAGCUCCUGGGCUAGAGAUCAGGACCCAGUCUUUAGCCUUCAGCCUCCUCACAGCCCCUUGAGAGGAGGGAAAGCCCUUGAGGCAGGAAUGAUGGGAAGCUGACUGGUUUAGUAGGGGUUCCAUGCUCUUGCUUCCUCCUUUGUAUCCUCAUAUCAUGGGCAGACUCCAAACACAGAACACUCAAGACCACAAAGAAUGGUUCUUAGCCUUUGGAGGGUCAAGGAUCCCUUUAUGAAUCUGAUACAAGCUGGUUAGUCUUCUUGUCAGAAAAACACAUGCAUGCAAACACCCACAAAAACAUGUAAACAAUCUGUUGACAGUCCCUGAUUUAGUCCAGCACCCUUAUCUUAAAGACUUUGGGACCCAGAACGGAGAUCUUUUCAACUACUAUGGGAUCAUUAAUGGGCUUGAAACUACUAUGCUAAGUUGAAAGAAGCCAGACACAAAGGAUCACAUAUUAUACGAUUCCAUUUAUGUAAAAUGUCCAGAAUAGGCAAAUGGGAUGAGGGGUAAAGGAUGACUAAGGGAUAUGGAGUUUCUUUUUGCAAUGAUGAAAAUGUUCUAAAAUUUUUUUUGCAAUGAUUGCUGCACAACUCUAAAUAUACUAAAAGCUAUUUAAUUGUACACUUUUAAGUGGGUGAACUGUAUGAUAUGUACAUUACAUCUCAAUAAGCUGUCUUAAAAAAGUGAACUCAGGGGUUUCAAAUGACCACACAUCUGAGCUUUAGUCCCCAUUCAUCAGGGGCAUAAAGAACCUGUGGAGAAAAAUCAGGGAAUUAUGCAGUAUACGGGUUAGACAAGAAAACAUUCUAGAAAGAACGAGAUUCUAUGUAUAAUCUUAAGGGCAAUAAAGCAUCAUGGAAGGUUUUAAGCAGUAUAUAACCAGAUCUACACUUCAGAAACCCAAAUCACUGAACUGUACAUUUCAAACAAGUGAAUUUUAUGGUAUGUAAAUUAUAUCUCAAUAAAGCCAUUUAAAAAAAAAAUCCCUUUGGGAGCUUGAGGAGGAUAAACUGGAGGGCAUCAACUGGGGGAGGCUGUGGUGUAGGAGUCAGGAUGAGGGGGCCAGAGCCUAUCUGUUUGGACUUGAGGGAAAGUGGCUUGGGGGUAGAGUUGGGGGAGGAUCAGGAUGUCCUGCCCAAGGUUAAGAAGCUGGUGGAACUUGAUUUCAGAACCCAGAGCUUCUUGGCUUUAGCCUGAGUGCUCCUGCUAGCACUACAGCUGCUCCAAUGACUGGUGAGGGAAGCACUGUCCUCCCCACCUGAGAGAAAUGCACUUCAGAAACAUGUUUCCAAAAAAUGUUUCUAAGGGUUUUAUUUCUAACAAGAGGAAAAUAAUAAAAUAAAAUUAAAAUAGGCUUCAGUUGGAACCAAGUUUCUUGUUUUGCUUUUUCUUUUGAACAAAUUAAUUACACACCAACAAUCUUCUUUUAUUACAACAUGAACCCAGGAGGAGGAAAGGAGACAGGGAAGGACAGGGAGGGAGGAUUGAGGUGGUUGUGAGGACAAGCACCAAAAGCUUUCUUCAGAUCACAGGGAGCCCUGUUCAGCUCACCAGCCAAAUUCCUU